GCUGAGCUGAAAGACUGAAUAGGGACUUGAGGCCAGAUGCGUCAGCUGUGUGGUGGGGAGAAGAGAGAGAGAGAGAGAAAGAGAGAAAGUGAGUGUGUGUGUGUGUGUGUGUGUGUGUGUGUGUGUGUGUGUGUGGCGUGGUGGGGGUGGAGGGCCGGUUUCACCGAAGAUUUCCCUCUCUCUGAAAUAGCAUAUGAAGACAGCUACGUCACAGAUCAGGAACUGGAAGGAGGUCCAGGCACUGUCCAUCCCAUCGAGGUCCAGGCACAGUCCAUCCCAUCUCCCUAUAAUACAGAUGAGGAAACUGAGGCCCAGGAAAGGAACAUGACUAGGGCACCCCACACGGUAUUGAUGAAGAUCCCUGUUACUGAAUCCCCUCCAACUUCUAGACAGCACCCAACCCCAGACUGCCUCUGCUUUCCCGACCUCUUCUCGAAUCGCUCUGCACCAACCUGAACCCUCUAAGAGGCCUCUCUUGGGACCUUCCUUUUGAGAUUCUCUGGAGAUCCUGUAGGGCAUGUACUUUGCUGCGCAAGCUAAAUAAACCUAACUUUUUUGGACUA